UACAGAGGUGGCAAGCGUUGUUCGGAAUUACUGGGCGUAAAGGGCGCGUAGGCGGCUUUUUAAGUCAGGGGUGAAAUCCUGGAGCUCAACUCCAGAACUGCCUUUGAUACUGAGAAGCUUGAGUCCGGGAGAGGUGAGUGGAACUGCGAGUGUAGAGGUGAAAUUCGUAGAUAUUCGCAAGAACACCAGUGGCGAAGGCGGCUCACUGGCCCGGUACUGACGCUGAGGUGCGAAAGCGUGGGGAGCAAACAGG
rnacentral:rRNA from 1 species